AUUCUCUCUCUCUCUCUCUCUCUCUCUCUCUCUCCUCUCUCUCUUUAAAAAAAAAAGACCCUAAAGUGAUUUAAACUACACUUGUGACCUUGACAUGCAUUUACCAGCUACUGCCUAACAUUCCCCACUCAAGGACUAAAGCCCCUGAAUCAUCCAGAGAAUAAGGGGUGAUAAAGUCAAAUUGGUAGCUACUUUCUGCUGAUUAGGGGCAUAGGCCUAUAGGGUAGGUAUCUCUAAUCCUUGCUAUCUGUCAGUGAAAUGCUUCAGAUUAUGAGUAAGUUCUGUCAAAGGGGCCAUGGUAAUUCUCUGGUUUGGUAAAAACAGAUUGUAAAGCCAUCUGGGAGGUGGACGGCCUAUGAACAAAACAAGAACACAUAAGUAUUGGGAAAAGAUUGAUACAACAAUAAACAUAGUAACAUCUACAUUUACCGAUGAUAUGAUAAUGACUAUAGGUAUCAGCAGUUUCUUCCACCAUCAAGUGUCAGAAAACUAUGAGCUAAAAACUUGACCCCAUGAUGAAACAGGUGAGGACAUAACAUCUCUUUGAAAAUUAAAUAUUUAAGGAUUUUAGUUACAUUGUCAGAGUGGUCAGGAAUGUAAACACAACAUUCUGUCUGGAUAAUGGCACAAAUGCUACCCUGAUCUGUAGUGAGAUCAUCCAAAGCCAUCCGGUUUUGUAAUACAGCUUUUUUUCAUGACAGCCACCUCUAUGUUAAGGAGAGAAAUACAUCUGUCAGUGUCAUAAAGAGCUUUUGAUUAUAACUGGUCAGACUUCCAUGUUCCAGAUUAUGUCUUAUAGACCAGUCUGAGGGAUAAAUAUCAGAGUUAGAAAAUCAAACCAUUGAAAAAUAGAGUAAGCUCACCUAUGUAGGAGGUUAGGAAAAUCUGUGGGUCUCAAAUCGACUCAGAACAAACUUGUGACUGUGACAGUGUCUUUUUUUGGUAUUUAUCAGACACUCCUGUAUAAGAAUACUUAUUAAUAACUUCCAAGUUUUACUUUUGAGAGGACUGACAUAAAUUUAUAUCUUAAGCUACAUUAAAAAAAUUAUCUUUUCUUUUAAAUGUCCAUGUGUGGCUAUAUUUUGGUUAUACUCUCCUGCAAGUUGUUUAAGACCGAGUUGGUAAAAAAUUGACCCUUUUCCUAUCUGCUGUUUAGAGUCAGCUGAGAUUUGAUAGGAGUUGCUUUUACAAGCUUCAAGAAUACUCUUGGCUUCUUUAUCUUUCUCCUAUGAGUUGUGCUAUUUGCCAGGAUGGUUCAGAGUCUUGCUGACCACAUAUGGCUUCCCUUGGAAGCAUUAGGGAUAUAUCCCUUCCCAAUGACCCUCGUUUUUGCACUGUGUACACUGGUUGACUUCCUGUUUUCUAGAGUCUCCACAAUCCCCCUGAUCAAGAGGUCAGGUAACUCACCAGAGUUUCAGGACUUUUAGAGAAGUCCCAUCAUUCCUUAAAUUCCAGCUGACCUUAAAGGACAACAGCCAAAAUAUUGACUUGAGUUUUCCUUGGCCCUUUUACUUCCUUGACUUUGGUCUCCAAGCUUUAGUUUUAAGCAUUCAACAGGCCACUUUCAACAUUCUUGAAAUGGGAGUAAUGGGUUCAUGCCCAUACUGGAAGUCCGCAUUAUAUGC
rnacentral:lncRNA from 1 species